UGAAUGUUUGUCUAAAUUCUUAGUUUAAGGACAAUCUAAUUAACAAAAUUCUGUAUAAUUAUGGGCAUGGUUCCUUGGAGUGACAGCAGCUGUGUCCAUAGAC